AACGAACGCUGGCGGCAGGCCUAACACAUGCAAGUCGAACGCUGUAGCAAUACAGAGUGGCAGACGGGUGAGUAACGCGUGGGAACCUUCCCAGUGGUGCGGAAUAGCUCAGGGAAACUUGAGGUAAUACCGCAUAAGCCCCUAGGGGGAAAGAUUUAUCGCCAUUGGAUGGGCCCGCGUCGGAUUAGCUAGUUGGUGAGGUAAUGGCUCACCAAGGCAACGAUCCGUAGCGGUUUGAGAGAAUGACCAGCCACACUGGGACUGAGACACGGCCCAGACUCCUACGGGAGGCAGCAGUGGGGAAUCUUGGACAAUGGGCGCAAGCCUGAUCCAGCCAUGCCGCGUGAGUGACGAAGGCCUUAGGGUUGUAAAGCUCUUUUGCCGGGGACGAUAAUGACGGUACCCGGAGAAUAAGUCCCGGCUAACUUCGUGCCAGCCGCCGCCGU
rnacentral:rRNA from 1 species